GGUGGGUGUAGUUCAAUUGGCAGAACAGCUGUAUGUGGCAUAGUAUAUCCUUGUUCGAUUCAAGGUACCCUCC
rnacentral:tRNA from 1 species